rnacentral:rRNA from 1 species
UACGUAGGGCGCAAGCGUUAUCCGGAAUUAUUGGGCGUAAAGAGCUCGUAGGCGGUUUGUCGCGUCUGCCGUGAAAGUCCGGGGCUCAACUCCGGAUCUGCGGUGGGUACGGGCAGACUAGAGUGAUGUAGGGGAGACUGGAAUUCCUGGUGUAGCGGUGAAAUGCGCAGAUAUCAGGAGGAACACCGGUGGCGAAGGCGGGUCUCUGGGCCGAUACUGACACUGAGGAGCGAAAGCGUGGGGAGCGAACAGG